rnacentral:rRNA from 1 species
GACAGAGGUGCCAAGCGUUAGGCGGAAUCAUUGGGCUUAAAGCGUGUGUAGGCGGAUUCCUAAGUACCUUGUGAAAUCCCACGGCUUAACCGUGGAACUGCUUGGUAUACUGGGUGUCUUGAGCCACUUAGGGGUCAGCGGAACAAAUGGUGGAGCGGUGAAAUGCGUAGAUAUCAUUUGGAACGCCAAUGGUGAAAACAGCUGACUGGGAGUGUGCUGACGCUGAGACACGAAAGCCAGGGGAGCAAACGGG